UGGAAUUUUGUUCUUAUUAACAUAGGAUGAUAAUCUCCUUUUUGGCUGCAUGAAAGGGAACUUAAUCAUGUUCAGGUGUCACAUGUGCAUUGCAGCGGGUGGAGCGCAGCUUCCGUCACAGAUUGGGUAUCUAGCUCCAAUUUAUUAAACAGUUAUUGAAGAGCAUGUUGCUAUGGCAGAUGAAGUAGUUGACAAGCAUGAUCUAGCUAUAGAGAUCGCUGAAGGAGACAAAGAAGGUAAUCAUUUGUUUGUUCGAAUUAGACGGCUUCUCCGUAUCUUUCAUAUUUCGUCCAAGGUUCUAAAUUUGGGCAAAGACAUGUGCACCUCAUCCGAGAGAUGGUAAACAUGCAGGAGCUAUUCUUGCAAUUAGUAGCAGUAUGAUCAUGUCUUACUAGAAGGAUAGAGCUAUUCACCAAAUUCAUCUUUGUAUCUUGUUUCCGCUUAGAUGCACAUCUAUUUUGUGUUUUUGUUUACUAUCAACACGAAAUAAUCAGUUUGGAAGAUAACUUUGUCAUAUAUA